CCUAAACACAGCCCUGAGACCCCAAACCCACCCCAAACCCCACCCUAAAUACAGCCCUGAGACCCCAAACCCAUCCCAAAGGCCGCAUGUGCAGGGCCCGGAGCAUGGCCUGGGACCCCAAAAACAUCCUAAAUCCAUUCCAAAUCCCACCCAGAGACCCCAAAAACACCACAAAUCCAUCCCAAAUCCUAAAUGGGACCCCAAAUCCCACCCAGAGACCCCAAAAACACCACAAAUCCAACCCUGGGACCCCAAAUCCAUCCCAAAUCCCACCCAGAGAGCCCAAAUCCAGCCCAGAGCCUUCUAAUCCCAUCCAGACCCCAAAUCCCCAAAUCCCAGCCCAAAGUCCCAGUCCCAGUUCCCAUUCCCAGUUCCCAAUCUCAUUCCCAGUUCAAUUCCAGUUCAAUCCCAGUCGAUCCCAGUCAAUCCCAGUCAAUCCCAGUUUAUCCCAGUCAAUCCCAGUUUAUCCCAGUUCAAUCCCAGUCAAUUCCAGUUCAAUCCCAGUCGAUCCCAGUCAAUCCCAGUUCAUUCCCAGUUUAUCCCAGUCAAUCCCAGUUUAUCCCAGUUCAAUCCCAGUCAAUCCCAGUUCAAUCCCAGUUUAUCCCAGUCAAUCCCAGUCAAUCCCAGUUCAAUCCCGUUCAAUCCCAGUUCAAUCCCAGUCAAUCCCAUCCCAUUCCCAGUCUAUCCCAGUCUAUCCCAGUCAAUCCCAGUUUAUCCCAGUCUAUCCCAGUCAAUCCCAGUCAAUCCCAGCCCAAUCCCAGCCCAUUCCCAGUCAAUCCCAGUCUGUCCCAGUACCGAUCUCUCGCUCCUGGCCAGGGUUUUGCCGUCACUCCCGUACAGGCUCAGCCCCACCAUGAACAUCCCCAGCUCUCGGUUCACCGGCGACUCCGGCAGCUCCAGCUCCAGCGAGAUCCGGUACAGCUGCCCAUAGAGUAACACCUGAGGGUGAAAUACACCUGGGUUACACCGGGGUUACACCUGGUACACCUGGGAUACACCUGGGUUACACCUGGGAUACACCUGGUACACCUGGGAUACACCUGGGAUACACCUGGGUUACACCUGGGAUACACCUGGGUUACACCUGGUACAGCUGGUACACCUGGGAUACACCUGGGAUACACCUGAGAUACACCUGGGUUAUACCUGAGAUACACCUGGGUUACACCUGAUACAGCUGGGUACACCUGGGUUACACCUGGUACACCUGGGAUACACCUGGGAUACACCUGAUACAGCUGGGCAUGGCUAACAUACACCUGGGUACACCUGGGUUACACCUGGGUUACACCUGAGAUACACCUGGGUUAUACCUGGUACACCUGGGUUAUACCUGAGAUACACCUGGGUUACACCUGGGCAUGGCUAACAUACACCUGGGAUACACCUGGGUUACACCUGGUACACCUGGGAUACACCUGGGAUACACCUGGGAUACACCUGGUACACCUGGGAUACACCUGGGUUACACCUGGUACACCUGGGCAUGGCUAACACACACCUGGGUACAGCUGGGUA
rnacentral:lncRNA from 1 species